UGGGGAAUAUUGCACAAUGGGCGAAAGCCUGAUGCAGCAACGCCGCGUGAGUGAUGAAGGUCUUCGGAUUGUAAAGCUCUGUCCUUUGGGACGAUAAUGACGGUACCAAAGGAGGAAGCCACGGCUAACUACGUGCCAGCAGCCGCGGUAAUACGUAGGUGGCGAGCGUUGUCCGGAUUUACUGGGCGUAAAGGGUGCGUAGGCGGAUGUUUAAGUGAGAUGUGAAAUACCCGGGCUUAACUUGGGUGCUGCAUUUCAAACUGGAUAUCUAGAGUGCAGGAGAGGAGAAUGGAAUUCCUAGUGUAGCGGUGAAAUGCGUAGAGAUUAGGAAGAACACCAGUGGCGAAGGCGAUCCUCUGGACUGUAACUGACGCUGAGGCACGAAGGCGUGGGUAGCAAACAGGAUUAGAUACCCUGGUAGUCCACGCCGUAAACGAUGAGUACUAGGUGUAGGAGGUAUCGACCCCUUCUGUGCCGCAGUAAACACAUUAAGUACUCCGCCUGGGAAGUACGAUCGCAAGAUUAAAAC
rnacentral:rRNA from 1 species